rnacentral:rRNA from 1 species
AUAUGAUGUGAUGUGAAUGGACGAAUGACGUGAAUGACUGCGAAUGCUUUGAACGACACAUGUGCGACCCCUUGGUAUGCCCGAGGGGCAUGCCUGUUCGAGCGUUGCA